rnacentral:rRNA from 1 species
CAGUAGCCGCGGUAAUACGUAGGUGGCAAGCGUUGUCCGGAAUUAUUGGGCGUAAAGGGCUCGCAGGCGGUUUCUUAAGUCUGAUGUGAAAGCCCCCGGCUCAACCGGGGAGGGUCAUUGGAAACUGGGAAACAUGAGUGCAGAAGAGGAGAGUGGAAUUCCACGUGUAGCGGUGAAAUGCGUAGAGAUGUGGAGGAACAUCAGUGGCGAAGGCGACUCUCUGGUCUGUAACUGACGCUGAGGAGCGAAAGCGUGGGGAGCGAACAGGAUUAGAUACCCCAGUAGUCCCUGUCUCUUAUAC